rnacentral:rRNA from 1 species
GGAGGAUCAUUACGAGUUCAUUCUCCUUAAACGCCCGUGAACGUUUCUUCAACUGUUCGUUGCUUCGGCGGGCGGCCCCGGGGAGGGGCCGCAGCCCGCAAGGGCGCCCGCCGGCGGCAGCGCAGCACAACUCUUGCGAUUUAUGCCCCUCUGAGAAGACACUAAAUGAGUCAAAACUUUCAACAACGGAUCUCUUGGUUCUGGCAUCGAUGAAGAACGCAUCGAAAUGCGAUAAGUAAUGUGAAUUGCAGAACUCAGCGAAUCAUCGAAUCUUUGAACGCACAUUGCGCCCGCCGGCAUUCCGGCGGGCAUGCCUGUUCGAGCGUCAUUUCAACCCUCGAGCCCUGCUCGGUGUUGGGGCCCCGCGGCCGCCGCGGGCCCUGAAAAGAAGUGGCGGGCGCGCCUGGACCCGUAGCGCAGUAAUACACCUCGCUCGCGGCGUCCCGGCGCGUGCCGGCCGUAAAACCCCUUUAUCUCAAGGUUGACCUCGGAUCAGGUAGGAAUACCCGCUGAACUUAAGCAUAUCAAUAAGCGGAGGAAAAGAAACCAACAGGGAUUGCCCUAGUAACGGCGAGUGAAGCGGCAACAGACUCAAAUUUGAAAUCUGGCCUCGGCCCGAGUUGUAAUUUGCAGAGGAUGCUUCUGGCGCGGUGCCUUCCGAGUCCCCUGGAACGGGGCGCCACAGAGGGUGAGAGCCCCGUAUGGUUGGACGCCUAGCCUGUGUGAAGCUCCUUCGACGAGUCGAGUAGUUUGGGAAUGCUGCUCUAAAUGGGAGGUAAAUUCCUUGUAAAGCUAAAUACCGGCCAGAGACCGAUAGCGCACAAGUAGAGUGAUCGAAAGAUGAAAAGCACUUUGAAAAGAGAGUCAAACAGCACGUGAAAUUGUGAAAGGGAAGCGCUCGUGACCAGACGUGCGCCGGGCCGAUCCUCCGGUGUUCUCACCGGGGCCCUCGGCCCGGCUCAGGCCAGCAUCGGUUUUCGUUGGGGGACAAAGGCGCCGGGAACGUAGCUCCCUCGGGAGUGUUAUAGCCCGGCGCGUAAUACCCCAGCGG